rnacentral:tRNA from 1 species
GCGCCCGUAGCUCAACGGAUAGAGCACCAGACUUCGAAUCUGGCGGUUGCACGUUCGAGCCGUGCCGGGCGCACCA